AGAGUUUGAUCAUGGCUCAGGAUGAACGCCGGCGGUGCGCCUAAUACAUGCAAGUCGUACGCACUGGCCCAACUGAUUGAUGGUGCUUGCACCUGAUUGACGAUGGAUCACCAGUGAGUGGCGGACGGGUGAGUAACACGUAGGUAACCUGCCCCGGAGCGGGGGAUAACAUUUGGAAACAGAUGCUAAUACCGCAUAACAACAAAAGCCACAUGGCUUUUGUUUGAAAGAUGGCUUAGGCUAUCACUCUGGGAUGGACCUGCGGUGCAUUAGCUAGUUGGUAAGGUAACGGCUUACCAAGGCGAUGAUGCAUAGCCGAGUUGAGAGACUGAUCGGCCACAAUGGAACUGAGACACGGUCCAUACUCCUACGGGAGGCAGCAGUAGGGAAUCUUCCACAAUGGGCGCAAGCCUGAUGGAGCAACACCGCGUGAGUGAAGAAGGGUUUCGGCUCGUAAAGCUCUGUUGUUGGAGAAGAACGUGCGUGAGAGUAACUGUUCACGCAGUGACGGUAUCCAACCAGAAAGUCACGGCUAACUACGUGCCAGCAGCCGCGGUAAUGCGUAGGUGGCAAGCGUUAUCCGGAUUUAUUGGGCGUAAAGCGAGCGCAGGCGGUUGCUUAGGUCUGAUGUGAAAGCCUUCGGCUUAACCGAAGAAGUGCAUCGGAAACCGGGCAACUUGAGUGCAGAAGAGGACAGUGGAACUCCAUGUGUAGCGGUGGAAUGCGUAGAUAUAUGGAAGAACACCAGUGGCGAAGGCGGCUGUCUGGUCUGCAACUGACGCUGAGGCUCGAAAGCAUGGGUAGCGAACAGGAUUAGAUACCCUGGUAGUCCAUGCCGUAAACGAUGAGUGCUAGGUGUUGGAGGGUUUCCGCCCUUCAGUGCCGGAGCU
rnacentral:rRNA from 1 species